CUCCAAAGGGUUGAGCUUGGUUCAGAGCAACUUCCCUGUUCUGUUAAUUAAACUUUGGGACAUUGAAAUUGGCUGAGGGAAAUUACUGAAUAGAGAAUAUCACUCUAUUCAUAUACUUCUAGCCUACACAA
ensembl:snoRNA LOC120102008 small nucleolar RNA SNORA36 family